UAAACUAGGAUUAGAUACCCUAUUAUUUAAAAUGUAAAAUAUUGGUUAUAAGGUAGUAUUAGUUAUGGGCUUGAAACUUAAAAAAUUUGGCGGUAUUUUAGUCUAUUUAGAGGAACUUGUUAAUUAAUCGAUAAUCCACGUUGGACCUUACUUAUUUUUGUUUUUCAAUUUGUAUAUCGUCGUUAUUUAAAUAUUUUAUAAGAAUAAUAAUUUUUAAUAUUUUAAUAAAAAAAAAUGUCAGAUCAAGGUGCAGUUUAUAAAUAAGUUUAUAAUGAGUUACAAUAAGUUUAUUUAAAUGAAUUUAAUAUUGAAAUUAUAUUAAUGAAAGUGGAUUUAAUAGUAAAAAUUAAUAGAUAAUAGUUUUGAUUUUAGCUCUAAAAUAUGUACACAUCGCCCGUCGCUCU
rnacentral:rRNA from 1 species